rnacentral:rRNA from 1 species
UUACUAGUCAUAUGGAUUCCUACGGGAGGCAGCAGUAAGGAAUAUUCCACAAUGGGCGAAAGCCUGAUGGAGCAACGCCGCGUGCAGGAUGAAGGCUUUCGGGUCGUAAACUGCUUUUAUGUGCGAGGAUUAUGACAGUAACACAUGAAUAAGGAUCGGCUAACUACGUGCCAGCAGCCGCGGUCAUACGUAGGAUCCAAGCGUCAUCCGGAAUUACUGGGCGUAAAGAGUUGCGUAGGUGGCAAAGUAAGUAAGGCGUGAAAGCAUCCCGCUCAACGGGAUAAACAUGCUUUAAACUGCUUAGCUAGAGAACGAGAGAGGUAGAUGGAAUUCCCAGUGUAGGAGUGAAAUCCGUAGAUAUUGGGAGGAACACCGAUGGCGUAGGCAGUCUACUGGCUCGUUUCUGACACUAAGGCACGAAAGCGUGGGUAGCAAACAGGAUUAGAUACCCUGGUAGUCCACGCUGUAAACUAUGGGUGCUAGCUGUUAGAAGUAUCGACCCUUCUAGUAGCGAAGCUAACGCGUUAAGCAUCCCGCCUGUGGAGUACGGUCGCAAGACUAAAACAUAAAGGAAUUGACGGGGACCCGCACAAGCGGUGGAGCGUGUUGUUUAAUUCGAUGGUAAGCGAAGAACCUUACCCAGGCUUGACUUCCUUGGAAGUUCUGCGAAAGCAGAGUGUGCCUUCGGGAACCAAGUGACAGGUGGUGCAUGGCCGUCUUCAGCUCGUGUCGUGAGAUGUUUGGUUAAGUCCAUUAACGAGCGCAACCCUUAUAGUUAGUUGAAUUUUUCUAGCUAGACUGCCCUGGCAACAGGGAGGAAGGAGGGGAUGAUGUCAGGUCAGUAUCUCCCUUACGUCCGGGGCUACAAACACGCUACAAUGGCCGGUACAAAGGGCAGCCAACCCGCGAGGGGGAGCUAAUCCUAUCAAAACCGGUCUCAGUUCGGAUUGCAGGCUGAAACUCGCCUGCAUGAAGUCGGAAUCGCUAGUAACGGUAGGUCAGCACACUACCGUGAAUACGUUCCCGGGCCUUGUACACACCGCCAU